GUUGCAUAAAAAUUUAUGUCAUAAUGACAUAAAUUUCGAUCAUGACAUAAAAUCAUGCAUAGCUUAUGCCGUUGACAUAAAUUUCGUUGCAUAAAAAUAUUUAUGUAUUGUUUUAGCUUAUGACGCGAUUUAAUCAUCAUUACAUAAACUGAAUAGUCAUGAACGAGCCUGUUGACAUAAACUUGGCAUAAGUUGUCAUUUUUCAGCCGCAGGAAGCUCUUGCGAAAAAGGGGUCUUCGGCUUCCUAUUUGGACGGGAAAGAGGCAUAUUUUGGUGACCCACACAAACGGUGAGAAGAGGUACAUGUAUAGAGAGAAAGGGGCACAGCAACUGAAAGGAGAGGGAAGUCCAGACACUCUACCACGGUCUGCCAUUGAAUAAGAAGUCUCUCUUUGGAUCAGGGGGUCAAGCUCCUAGUAUGAAGAUUGUUCAAGAGUCAAGACUGUUGAAGAGGUGACGUCAUGGACCUGGUAGCACCUGGCAAGGGAACUAUAUUACUGUUCAUAAAUCUAUGACUCAAGUAUCCUAAAAACGCUUUAAAAAUUUGAACAUUAACAAAAGUACUAAUUUUUUUUUAUUUUUCAAAGAUAAUAAUCAUUAUAUUGACAUUGUGAAUAUAUUUUAUGAUUAUCAUAAAAUUAUUAUAAUGUAAAUGAUGAUAGGUCAUACUAAUACAAAUAAACAAUAAGUAGAAAAGAAGACAACCAAGGAGGAGGAGAAGAAAAAGAAGAGGGGUGGAAGAGGAGAAAAGGAGAAGAAGAAUAAAUAACAACACUGAGUUCCUCUUCAUGAUAUUACAGAAAUCUUCAUCUUUAAGUGGAAAUAUUUAUGAAUAGUAUAAUAUAUAAUGUAUGAAAAAAAACAUUUUAUCUAAAUCCAAGUUCCACUUUAAUCAUGUUUAUAAAGUCAUAGGACAGGUGACAAGAUAACAUUGUUUCACAAAUUUUAGUGUGUA
rnacentral:lncRNA from 1 species